UACGUAGGGUGCAAGCGUUGUCCGGAAUUAUUGGGCGUAAAGGGCUCGUAGGCGGUUUGUCGCGUCGGGAGUGAAAUCCACUGGCUUAACUGGUGGCUUGCUUUCGAUACGGGCAGACUGGAGUCUAGCAGAGGUAGGCGGAAUUCCGGGUGGAGUGGUGAAAUGCGUAGAGAUCCGGAGGAACACCAGAGGCGAAGGCGGCCUACUGGGCUAGUACUGACGCUGAGCCGCGAAAGCCAGGGGAGCGAACGGG
rnacentral:rRNA from 1 species